UCCGAGUUGACCCCGGCAGUCUCCCAUGAGUCCCCACCAUUACGUGCUGGCAACAUGGAACGAGGGUUGCGCUCGUUGCGGGACUUAACCCAACACCUCACGGCACGAGCUGACGACAGCCAUGCAGCACCUGUACAAACGCCCUUGCGGGAAGGGUACUUUCAUACCCAGUCGUCUGCAUUUCAAGCCUAGGUAAGGUUCUUCGCGUUGCAUCGAAUUAAACCACAUGCUCCACUGCUUGUGCGGGCCCCCGUCAAUUCCUUUGAGUUUCAACCUUGCGAUCGUACUCCCCAGGUGGGGAUGACGUUGAACGGUUG
rnacentral:misc_RNA from 1 species